rnacentral:lncRNA from 1 species
GUACGGAGUGGUUGAUAAUCAUCAUCCCUUGGAUUUUCCGCCAAAUGAUCAGCUAUAGCUUGCCCCUUGACAGCUUUCUGUGAAGUGAAAACAAUAUCAAAUUCUGAGAGAAUUAUCUGCCAUUUCGCCAGACGCCCAGUCAACAUCGGCUUCUCCAAAAGAUACUUCAAAGGAUCAGAUCGGAAAAUAAGAUAAGUGGUAUGGCUCAACAGGUAGUGUCUCAACUUUUGGGCUGCCCAGGCCAAUGCACAGCAGCUUUUCUCAAUGAAUGAAUAAUUAGCCUCGUACUGCGUGAACUUUUUACUUAGAUAAUAGAUGGCUUGCUCCUUCCUUCAAGAGUCAUCGUGCUGACCUAGAACACACCCUACUGCUCCAUCGAGUACAGAUAAAUACAUAAUCAAAGGUCGGCCCGGUUUGGGUGGCACUAAGACUGGUGGAUGCAACAAAUAAUCUUUAAUCUUGUCAAAAGCCUGUUGGCACUCCUCAUUCCAAUACAACGGCACGUUCUUUCUCAAUAAUUUGAACAACGGCUCGCAUGUGGCAGUUAGUUGGCCAAUGAACCUCCCGAUAAAAUUGAUCUUCCCUAAAAAGCUUUUCAAGUCCUUCUGAGUUUUUGGCACUGGCAUGUCUCGAAUUGCUUUGAUUUUUGCCGGAUCUAUUUCUAUGCCCUUCUUGCUAACAAUGAAUCCCAACAGCUUACCCGCAGGUGCUCCGAAGGCGCAUUUUGCAGGAUUUAGCUUCAAAUUGUACUUCCGUAACCUCUCGAAUAAUUUCUUCAGAUCAACCAAGUGGUCCUCUGCCCUUUUAGACUUGAUUAUAAUAUCAUCCACGUAGACCUCCAUCUCCCGGUGGAUCAUAUCAUGAAAUAGGGUUGUCAUGGUCCUCUGAUAUGUUGCCCCUGCAUUCUUUAAACCGAAAGGCAUGACUCGGUAGCAAAAGGUACCCCAAGGGGUAAUGAAAGUAGUCUUCUCCCUAUCCUCCUCUGCCAUCAAAAUUUGGUGGUAGCCAGCAAAACAAUCGCAAAAGGUUUCAAUCUCAUGUCCGGCCGUAUUGUCUAAGAGAAUGUGAAUAUUUGGUAGAGGGAAAUCAUCUUUAGGACUGGCUUUAUUGAGGUCUCUAUAAUCAACACAAACUCGCACCUCUCCACUCUUUUUUGGAACAGGGACUGGAUUUGAAAGCCAAAUUGGGUAAUGGGAAACAAUGAUAAUGUUGGUUUUGAGUUAUUUUUCAAUUUGCUCUUUUAUUUUGAGGCUUAUAUCUGGUUUGAAUUUUCUGGGUUUUUGUUUUACGGGUGGAAAAAAAGGGUCUGUGGGUAACCUAUGCACUACCACGUCAGUUGAAAUGCCAGUCAUAUCAUCAUAGGACCAUGCAAAAACAUCUUGAAACAUAGUCAAAAAUUCAAGCAUCUCCUUUUUCUGCCUUUCAUUCAAGUGAAUACUGAUCUGCACCUCCUUAACUUCAUCCUCAGUGCCAAUGUUAACCUUUUCUGUCUCUUCCAGGUUCGGUUAUGGUUUUUCCUCAUAUUGUUCAAGGUCCUUUGCAAAAGAAUCGAAUACCUCCUCAUUAUCACUCUCGCUUUGGAGUUCGGAUUCACAGACCUCCAAGUCGUGAGUGAUAUAGAGAUAUGGUUUAUCGUAUUCCAGAACUGUGAUAUCCAAAGGGUCAAAUAAUUUUAUUUUUGGCCAUCUGAAAGAAUUAACGAAUGUGGGACAAUAAGCAAAUAAGCAUACAACAAACAAAUGAACAAACAAUAUGAAUAUAAACAAGCGAAUAAAUAACACAACAUGCCAAGAACAACUUGUGCAUUUUCAUAAAACCUUUGAUUGAAAGCAAAACAAAAGAAAGCAAGCGGAAACAAUAUCUAUAUGUGCAAAUUUUAGUCAAAAGUAAAGAUGCUUUCAUUAACUAUUUACAGAUGCAAAAGUAUUUUUUCCAUGAAUAUGAAUGAUAAACCCCUUUCAUUUUACCGAAACUCCUUCCGAACGGGCAGGGACUCGGCUGUCCAAUUGGGAAUUGAUCCUUCGGGGAUAUCAGGAAAUUCAGCUUCGCCUGGAACACUAUCUUCAAAUGUUGCCCCUACGAACAAUUGGGCCAAACUAGCUUCAAUUUCUUCAACUGGAUUAACCUCUGAUGUGAUAACCUCUGUUGGUCGUGGAAAAGUAUACCGCAGUGGUGGAAUAUCAAAAACCCUUUGCCUGCCCUCUUUCUCUGCUCUUUUGCGCUCCUUCAUCUCUUUGAUGUCCUUGGCGGUUGGUUGGAAACCCAAACCGAAUGUAUCCCUUUUUUCCAUAAUCUCCACUGGCUUCAAGAUCCCUUGCAGUUCACGCCCCAAUCCUCUGUCUAAUUUGUAUCCUCCACGAAUCAUUUUCUUAGCCAUCAUUACACUUGCUUUUGAGAGAGCUUGUUCCUCCGUUGUGAUCCAACUUACGGAGAUUAUAUCGGAUGUGCUAUGAGGGGACAUGGUGGCACUUCGACUUCCCUCCUCUUUAGAUCCAGAAUCAGUGAUUACCAGGCAGUCCUCUUCGGCAAAGAUAGUGAUUAGCUUGUCAUUUACUACGAAUUUCAGCAAUUGAUGCAAUGAAGAUGGCACAGCCCCAGACUUGUGAAUCCAUGGCCUUCCAAGUAAAAUAUUGUAAAUGCUCGGGAAGUGCAUUACUUGGCAAGUUAUUUGAAAUUGGGCGGGCCCCAUCUCGAUUACUAAAUCUGCCUCUCCUAUCGGCUCCCUUUGAGCUCCAUCAAACCCUCGAACGAUAGUCCCUGAAGGCCUCAGCUUAAUGUCUUGCAAUCCUAGCUUCUCCAAGGUACUCCAAGGACAGAUAUUAAGCGCGGACCCGUUGUCAAUUAGCACCUUCGGCAGCAUUUUCCCGUUGCACCUCACUGUUAUGUACAACGCCCUAUUAUGUCCAAUGCCCUCUGUCGGCAAUUCAUCGUCAGAAAAAGCAAUUUGUUUGUUGAAUAAUACGCUCCCAACCACGUUUGAAAAAUUAUCAACAGAGAUGUCCCUCGGAAUUUGAGCUUUAGUUAAUACGUCGAUCAAUACAUCCCUAUGCAUGUCUGAAGAGAAAAGUAAAUCCAGCAUGGUUAUCUGGGCAGGUGACUUGCUUAGCUUUUCGAUUAUGUUGUAUUCACUUCUCUGGAGUCGUUUAAGGAAAUCCACGGCUUCUUUCUCGGUGAUUACUGGCUUAAUGGGCGGCUCGGAAUUAGCUUGAAUCGGAAUAGUAGUUUCAAAUGGACUUACAGUCUUCCCCGAUCUGGUAACCACUGACACCUCUUUCUUUGCAGUUGAAUUUUCCCCGAUCUGUAUGGUAGGUUCAUCGUAAUUCCACGGUACUUGUUGCAGACUCAAAACGGGCUCCUGCUCAGGGAAUUCGAUGAAUACCGGCUUCAAAGCUUCACUUUCUGCUGGCGUAAGAUCCAAGACAAAAGGUUUGUUAUCUUCUCCGAAUGGUAAUUCUAUGACGAAUGGUUGGUCUGUGACCCCAAAUACUUCAGCUUCCCUCGCCAAUUUUUUGACUUGUUCUUCGUACUCCGCAUCGUCCAGAAUGACCCCAACGUGCUCUGGCAAGGGGUUUUGAUUUACGUUCGGCCCUUGUGCCUCCCUUUUUCGGAUUACAAUCUCCCCGGUUUCAACCAUAUCUUGGAUUUUAUGUUUAAGCGCCUUGCAAUCAAAGGUGGCAUGUCCGGAGGCCCCAGAAUGAUAAGCACAGACAGCUUGUGGAUUAUACCACGCGGGCAUGCCAUAUGGGUAGGUAGGAGGGGGCACCGUACCAAUUUUCCCGGCGGCCUUCAAUUGUUCAUACAAUUGAUCCAGAGGCCUGCCUAGGUUGGUAAAUGUACGGCUAGGGGGUCGGUUGUAAGGUUCAGGAGGUGGAGGAUGAUUGUAAACAGGUCUAUUUGGUGGAGGAAAUCUUGGAUUAUAUGGAAGGCGAGGUCGGUUUUGGGGUGGAUUUGGUUGGGAAAUUGGAAAAGGGGCUGAAGGUGGGUUAGGAUAGCUUGGGCGAGGUCGAGGGUGGUGGAUGUUGGUGGUAUAUACGGGAUGUGGGUUUGAGUAGUAAGGGUAAUGGGGUUGGUAGAUUGGGCUGUGUUGGUAUCGGGGUCUAGGCGAAGGGUUUUGGUUCCAAAUAAAUGUUGCGUCCCCCUCUUUCUUUUUGAACGGCGGCUUUUUCACAUUGCUUCCUUGACCUUGUAAAGCAUCCAACUGAGAUUUCAGGGCAGAGACAUUGACAAUCUUCCCGGCUCUCACAAAGUCGUCAAACUCUUCCAAUUUAUUCACAAUUGCAGCAAAAGAACAUCCAGUCAUACGGAAAAUUUCUUCGAAAUAUGGAGGAUCAUGCGCCUUUAUGAAUGUGCGAAUAAUUUCAUCCUCAGUCAUCGGUGGCUCCACCUUCGCAGCUAUCUUUCUCCAUCUCUUGGCAUAUGUCUUAUGAUCUUCAGAUGGUCGCCUUUUCGUUCCUUCCAGAGUAGUCCGGGUUGGCGCUAGCUCACAGUUAUACUCAUAUUGUCUAAUGAAGGCAUUGGACAGAUCGAGCCAGGUCUUCACUUCCUCCGGCUUUAGGUUGGAAUACCAGUCAAGCGCAUCCCCUUCUAAGCUUUCUGGAAAUAAUCUCAACGGCAAAUUCUCGUCAUCCACUGGCUUGCCCAACUUGUUAGCAAACAAGCGCAGGUGCGUUUUAGGGUUGCUUGUUCCAUCAUAUUUGUUGAAUUUAGGGGUCUUGAACCCCACCGGCAAUUGCACGUUCGGAAACAGGCACAAAUCAUCAUAAUCCAACAACCCUUGUUUGCUUAAACAUUGGCUUUUCCGGAUGAAUUCAUCAAAACGAUCCAAGCGUUUAAGUAGCUUCAUAUCAAUCUGGGCAGACGACUCUCCCAUUUCUGGCUUAUUUUGAAAAGUGUGCUCCGGCACCACGGGCUCCGCGGUAGUCUGGUAAAAAGUUUGUGGAUUCGGGUGCAUGUUUGGGUCGAUUUGAGGCUGAAACCCUUGCCCAUAAGGAGGAUAGAACGGAGGAUUUUGAGUAUAAGCAUAUUGCGGGUUGACAAUUCCCUCAAACGUGGUUUGCAUUGAAGGAAUAACAAAUGGUAACGUGGUCUGGCUGGGAGGAAUAACAAAUGGUUCAGAUUGUGGUUGUGUGGCGGGCACAGGCUCAGGUUGCACUCCGCUACUAACGAGUUCAUCGAUUAACCUCUUUUGAGCGGCCAUUUCGGAUGCCAUUUCCCCAAAUUUUGCGAGUAAUUCAGUCAACUGAAUCCCAGGACUUGCGGCUUCCGGCUGUGUAGUUGCAACGGCCUUAUCGGACGAUUCUGGUUGAGUACUCGUGUCUACACGAUUCCUUUGGGCUCUACUUCAGGAUCGCGUAAUAAUGGGGCUUUUCCGAAAAGCUAUUUUGAAAAUUUACCUGAGAAUGCAAAAAACUGCUUUAGAUAAACCAAUCGUUACUGAAUUUCUGCAAUUUAUUCAAAAGAGAAAAAGAAAAAGAAAAAGACAUGAGUUAGUAGCUAUUCGAACAAUUCGGAUGCAUGUCCUAGUUGGGGAACCCUUUUUGUGCCAAGGGUAGGCCUAGCAUGAUGCAACACCUUCGGAAUGAGACCCAUUAAUCAAACCUGUUAUUUGACAAACACUUUGUGAAGAGGGAAGAGAUUCAUUUCAUUGCAGAAACCAGAUACAUCUGUUUACAUCAUAUCGCGAAGGCGAUUUCGUACAAGAUCACCAAAGUUCCUAAGCCUAUCUAGUACAGAGUCUUUACUUUCUCUAGCAUAUGGCAUCUUGACACGUUCGGCUUGAUCAUAUAAUUCCCCACAUUUCUGCUUCAUCUCUUGGCGCCUUUCUCGCUCCUUCUCAUAUAACCUCUUGUUUUCUUCUGCCUUUCCUUUGUGCACUUCGAUGGAUUUCUUCAACUGUACCACCUCCAUGUCCUUGGCUUUAACGAUGGCUCUCAGCUUCUCAAUUUCCUCAUACGGUUCAUGUUGCAACCCUUGCGUGGUGGAAUCUUUCAACCAAUCCUCGUAUGGUGCGGUCAUUACCCCCUUCUGUUUGAGCUCCGGAAGAUAACGAAUGCUUCGAUCGUCGGAUAUUGUUCUCCAAGAUUCAGUGAUUUGGCUCUUCAUAGGGAUCUCUUUUGGGCAUACCCCCUGAUCAAAGAAAAUGGUGACUUCACUAAACUCGGAAAUCGGUGGCGGCCCCUGAAUGCGACCUAGUUGUCUGAGAAAUCUUUUCGGGGUAUAAGAGAUGAUUCCUUGAGUUCCCAGCAAGAGAACACGUUCAGAUUCCUUAGUGCGAAGUAUCAGCUCAAAGCAGUCUGUCCAAUCUAAUACCCACCUAAUGUUGAAAUCUUGCAAUGUUUCCAAGUAAUCCACACAUUCGGAUGCGUUCUUAGGUAGAUCUCCCUCGUUGACUCUUUUGGGAUGUGUGAUUACCCAAUUAUAUCCAACCACCGGCAAACUAUCGGCAACUGAUGCUUGUCUCUUAAAAUGUUCCGUAGCCCAUAUGUAUAAAACCAAGUUCGCCCCAUGGAAAAACUUUUCUCCAUUUCGACAACCAGUACAAGCUAAGAAAAUAUCUGCGAGAAUGGUCGGUACUAUGGAACAUUGCUUACCCUGAAUUCCUAAGAAAAGGUCAUUCACAAUUUUUGCUGAUUUAAAGGCUAUCUUUUGAUCUUUUCGCGGAAAGAGAUAGGUCCCAGCCAUAACUACCCCAUAUACUAGUAGCCUUUUGCGCUCCCAUACGGCUUUGGAAGUGAACACAAAAUCCGUCACAUGCCUCUCGAAUCCAUCGCGUGGCGCAAAUCGUUCAAACAGAAUAUUCACGGCGACGCCCUGAUCUGACCCUCGUAGCACGGACUCUUUCAAUCCUAUAAUUUGACAAAAUUCGGCCUUGUCGGAAGCAAAUGGAAACACCAAGGCAGUUCCUCGUGUGGGUAAACCAAGGAGGCCAGCUACUUCUUCGAGUGUUAUAGUCAUUUGCCUAUUGCCUAUUCUAAAAGCAGUACACUCGGGGUCCCAAAGAUGAACUAAAGCCUCUACCAAAUAAUUGUUGGAUUUGAUCUGCUUAAAGUCUCCAAUUGGUCCUAAAAAUUGGGCUACUUGAUUCAGUUCACUAGGUAACAUGAAGGUGGGCCAUUGUUGAACCUCAGUUGACGGUAUUAACAAUUGGUAGAUGCGGCGAGGGCAAGCCAUCUGAUAAUGAAGAAGGUAGUUUGUCAAUUACCUUACCUACGAGUCUCAUUCCUCCAGUUAUGCGAUAAUUUAAACGUGCAGUCCCUUGAAGGGUUAAAUACCCAUGGGACACAAAAGGGUUGGUUUUAUUCCUAAAACGGGAUUCCCUACGUGGCGUUCCCUUUCUAGGGUUUAUGCAUGAUGCCAUUUUAUUAAAACAAUAAAAUAUGCAAUUUGAAAUGAAACGUGACCUAAGGAACCCUUUAUUUGCCAGGGUAGGCCUAAAACGGUAUGGCAUUAUGAAUUUAUGAACAAAAUAAACCAUAAUUUGUCAAACGUACAAUAGCCUAUCUACAAGGGUAGGUCCUAAAAGAAGGUCAUGCCAGACCUCUUAUUUCUUAAUGUUUGUGAAUGCCAAAGACAAAAAACAAGGAAACGUGAGCUCAACACAUAAUCACAUAACACAUUUGGACAAAUAGAUAAUAUAAAAGGCAAUAAAGAUAAAUAAGAAAAGAGGGUUGGGACCCCUCCCCUCGUGAAUAGUGUCCCUAGUUCAGGAUAAUGGCUGACUCUACCCUAGGCAAUUCUAAUAUGGAUGCAUGAGGCUUGGCUUACUAAUGCAUCUAGACUCGAUAGGUCAUAGGCCCCCGAGCCUUCAGACUUAGAAACCAAGGGUCAUCAAUCCCAAGGUUCUUUGUCGGUGGCUCGAGCGAUUCCCCAAACACCGCUACGCACACAUCGUGUCACGGCUACGUGUUUGAGUGAAUCUAUCAAAACCUCAAUCUUCGACCAAAAGCUAAAGGCUAUCAACCAAUAGCUUUAAGCGGAAGAUUGAGUGACCCAUUGGAACAUGCUACACACACAUCGUGUCGUGAUCACAUGUCCAAAUGAGUCACCUAAUCCUAAUAGGGUGGAGUGGCAUGACAAGCCACUAAAGAAAAAUAAAAGGGAUAAAAGAAGUAAAGCGUAUGCUCGUAUGCUAGUGCUCGUUUGGAGGGGAAGGGUCAAGAACCAACGCGAGGCUCUAGGGUGACCCAUACCUCCCAAAAAUGCAAUGCAAGUGCGAGAUAAAAAGUAAACAUUCAUUCAAACAUACAUUCGUGAGUCGAGGGAUUGGUUUGAUUACGUAUAUAAGACAAAAGGUCCUAAAAAUGAAAAAUGCAAUCCUAAUAUCCACAUGCCAUGCAUAGAAAGGGUAGAAAGAGGAAACGAAUGGUUAAGUAAAAAAUGCUUGGACCCACUUAGGAAGUCCCCAGUGGAGUCGCCAACUGUCGCGCCCCAUUUUUUGAUAAAUAAAAAUAAUGGUUUGAGAAAGAUGUUUUUGAUUCAAUUUUGAUUGGAAAAUGAUUUUUGUGAGUUGAAAAAGAUAUGGGUCUAAUAUGGGACUUGAAAAAGCGACGAUUUGACCCAAAAAAUAGUUUUUAAAAGGGUUUUUGAAUGAGAAAUUGGAGUCGCCACUUGGUAAUGAUUAAGGUGUACCAAGUCACCUAAAAAUAAAUUUUUAAAGACAAAGUAGUAAAACCCUUUUAAAAACGACUCCUAGUCCACGUAAGCCAAAGAAAAAGGUUCGGGAGUCACGUUUGACAAAGGGGAAGGCAAGGAUAGAAUCCAAGGCACCCCUUUGACCUAGCCAAGGCUAGUUGCGCGACUUAACCUUACCUUUCCUAAUUUUCUACCCAAUGUAUGUUCGCACGUUGGAUAUGACUAUAUGAAAGCAAAACGGAAAGGAAAAUGCAAUCCUAAAUUCUACAAUAUCUCUUGUGAGGCUUUUGGUCCCAAACCACAUGAAUUGUGGCGGCCAACAAAGGAAAACCUCAUAGAGGUCGAUUAAUGCAAAUGAGAGUUCAAAUUCAAGUGUGCAAGUGUGAAAGUGUAUGAAAGAUGCAAAAAAUGUAAGUGCAAGUGUGCGAAUGUAUAAAAAAGGUGCAUGUGUGAAAUUGUAUAAAAUUCAAGUGUUUUUUGUGUGCAAGUGUGUGAAAAUAGAAUAAUAGAUAUAUAAAGUAAAGUGGAAUUCCAUUUAUGAGGUGAAAAUGAACGCGUGAUAGGAAAAAUAUAGUGAGAAAGUAUGGUUUUGAGAAAUGUGAAAAAAUGUGGUUAAAAGAGUAUGUAGAUGAUAAAAAUGAAAGUAUGACCCUAGAGGAAUGCAACAAGUCGGGUACGGGGGGUUGACUCCUAACUUUUCGACUUCUAUUUUCCCUUUGAUUAGAAGGCGAAACUAGCGUGCUAAGGCUAUCGAGUAGCCACACUCGCUCGUUUCCCUUAUCAAGAGGGGAUUUUCACGCAAAUGAACCCUAACUAGCAUGAGAUGCAAGUCCUAAAGUGAAGGGGAAGGGGUUUGAGGAACAUACCAAAUGAUAAACUAAGGAAAAAUGCGUGAUAUGUGGUGAUCAUGCACUUCAUGAAAAAGGAAAAAAAAAAAAACCUAUUGGGUCUAGCAUUGGACUAGCCCCUCCUAUGAAUUCCGACUAGCGUUGGACUAGUGGAAACGAUAAAAGAAGCCACAACUAGCGUUGGACUAGUGUGGUGACGUACAUUCAUCCAUUCCAUUCAUCCACACUAUAAAAAGCGAGUAGACAUGCGAAUCACUUAUAAACACGUAGCACAUAACACUUAGCAUGCUUGACUAGAUGCAAAAUCCUAAUAAAGCAUUAAACACAUAGCAACAAAAGCAAACAUCUAAACUAAUGAACCUAUUUACAUUUGCUAACUAAAACAAAAGGGGAAGGGGAAAAUGGACCAAAUUGCUCACCAAGCCCUAUCUAUUACAAGCCAAGAGGUGUACACAUACCCCAUAAUGAAUAACUUAAACAAAAAUAAAAGUAAAUGAAAUAAAUGCAAGGAAUUAAGAAAGCAAAGUAGACAUGCAUAUUCAUGUAACACGUAGGAGCACGUAGGAGAGAGGUAAAAAGGAUAAAAGAAAGUUAUACCUUCCCCCGCUUGUGAAGCUAGUAAAUGGAAAAGGUUCUAAUUUGGGCUAAAACCAUUAAACAGAGGAUUAAUGCACCAAUUUAAUAGUAAAUCAAACAACACAAAUUCUUCAAAAACAAAACUUAAGGAACCACUAGUGGCUAUAAAAUUUAACCAUUAAGUUCUUCAAAUAAUCAAACAAGUCCAUACUCAUCAAAUGGAAUUCCAAUUUGAACAUUAAAGAAAAUUUGAAGGACCAAAUUGAUUAAUCUUUUCAAUUUCUUGGGCCAUAGUGCAACAAAAAGAACUUGAGGGGGUUAAAAGGCAAUUUUUGAAAAGACUUCCAUGCAUGCAUACGAGACAAUUCAGCUUCUGCAACAACAAGAAGAUUUCGGCAGCUAAGCUAGCUCAUCCGCAGCUUCAUCCAUGAAACUUUGGCUAACCAAACGUUAAAUUAACUCUAAUUAAAGCAUGCUUAAACAUCACCUAAUCAAAGUAGCUCUUAAAAGAAUUUCUUGCAAACUUAUGUAACAAAGAGCUCCUGCCAAAAAUAAAAGUUGCUGCACUCCUGUUUGCAAACCAACUCAAAGAUUACUGCAAUUUCAUCUUCGACCAGAUUUAGGCAAAGAACUAACGCAACCUUUGGACACAUUCUAUCAAACAAUACCCAAACUUUGAGUCAAGCAACACAACACACAACUUGAUCUCCCUAAGUUGCUGUUACUGAAAAAAAAGAAACCUGCUGUGUUUUUCAAUCUUGCGGCCAUUUUUAUUUCAUGCAAAUGGAUAUCGAACUCAACACCAAUUUUUUCACAGCCCUCCAACCAAACCCCCAAGAAAACUAAUUUAGCAUCAUGACACACAAGUUUAACAUUCAAAACAAUCCAACCAUAGAAGAACAAUCAUGCCAAUGCUGAAAAAUCCUAUAUGAAAGGUUCGGCACUUUAAAACCAGCUUUUCAAACAUAAACACAUCCACAUACAAUUAUCAUACAAUCCUCCCAUUUUGUAACAUGACACCCGUAGACUCAAACACCAAGAUGGUCGAACAACAACUAAGCAAAAUCUGAACAACUUUAGUACUAAGACAUUUCUGCCACAAAAAGAAACUCUCGACAGACAAUUAGAGCAUGAGGAAUUCCAGCAACCUGGUACGGCUAACAAAACUUUAACAAGGAGAGAGAUUUAAAAUCCAAGCUCAUACUAGACCUUAAGAAUACACAGCCAAGAUACUAUGUAAGAGAGAGACAGAGCAAGAGGAAAGAAAAAUGGUUUCAGCCCAUUUGUGGUCACAUCACUCAAACAACAUCAUCCAUUUCCCGAAGAUUCAAACAUGUCAUUAAUCAAGGAAGAUGCAGAAAAGGAAGAAACUUGCGACAGAUUGAAAUUAGAUUCAUUGAAAGUUACUGCCUUUCUAGCCAAAUCAUCUAAUCAUUGAACAUCCAAUUGCCAUAAAGCUUUCAAAUGCUCACAAAUUUCUCGAAAGUAUCAGGAACCAUAGACAAAUAAACUAACAGAUGCAUGUACAAGGAAAGAAACAAGAAGCAGCCGUGAUGAACUCAAACUUUCACAGGAUUAUGCUGAAAUGAUAAGAAACAGAACGGGUUUACCUCACACGUUGCUUCUGAAAAAUGAAAACCCAAGAAUUGCUUGAUGCAGGAACUCUUUCGUUGAUGAAGUCGCCCCUCCUUUCUUAGUUUCCUCUUGCUUGGUUUCUUCUCCUCAGAUCAUAGCCUUCCAGAUUCUCCUCCAGAUGUCAACCAGCUUUCCUUUCAUCGGUCGUUCUUUCCUCCUCUCGAGCUCUCUCUCUUUCUCUCCUGCUUUCUGUUAGCUGUCCACUCAAAACCUCUCUCCGUAGCUUUCUUCUUUUCCUACGCCAUCAACCAGAAUCUCUCUCUCGCUCCCCCCUUAAUCUCUCCCUCUCUCUCUUUUUUCUGUUUUUUUUCCCUUGAUUUUCAGCCGUUCCUUUCUCUCUAAAACCCUGUCGGCUGCUGCUCUCUCUGUUGCCUUUUAUAUGGAACUCCUAGGUUCCUAAACCCUCAUACGAAGGGUGCUGAUGAGGGGUUUGUCCUUGCCUUCCAUCCAGCCCUUCGAUGGUGCUGCUGAAAUUAUGCUUGGCACGCUGCAAAAAAUUGCAGCGUGCAUGAUGCGGUUUUUUUUUUUAACUAAUUAAUUAAUUAAACAACAAAAAUGAUAAUAAUAAAACAAUAAUAAUUAAUGAUGAAAACAACUUAAUUAACAUUAGAUAAAAAUAAACUAAAAACAACAAAAAUGCAAAUUUCCAUUUUUUCAUUUUUCUCAUUUUUCACCUUUUUUUUUUAAAAAAUAACUUAAUAAAAUAAAAUGCCAAAAAGCUGAAUUUAAAAGAAAUAAACAUAUUUUUGUGAACAAAUUUUCCUUUUCUCUUUUUUCUCAUUUUUCCAAUCCAACUAAAGCCUAUUUUUUUUGAAUUUUUCUUCUUUUUCCUCUUUUUCUUUAAUUUUCUCUUUUCUCCUUUUUUUUUUAUAAUUUUUCAUUUUCAUUUUUCCUUCGAGAAAGCAUUGAAUAAAAACAAAAAGACUAAAACAUAUUUUUGAUGUUUUCCUUUCUUUUUUUUUUUCUAAAAAACUCUAUGCUAAUCUUAAACUAAAGCUAAAACUAAAAACUAAAACUAAAAGUAAAUAAGAAUAAAUAGCAAAUGAAAUAGGUCAACUUAAAGGGCGAAAAUGAAUAAAAUUAAAAUAUCAUAACAACUAAUAGUGCAAAACACACAAUGACGAACUAAAAUGCAAGCAAUCUAAAAAUGAAAAUCAUGAAAUAGAUGAUGCAUACAAUUAUUCAAAAUUUGGUGUCUACAGAAACCAUAGCUUCUCUAUGAGUGAUAAGAUCUGAUAUAUUUGAAAUCAAGUACUAUGAUUGUCUAUUUGUUUACUGAUAAUGGUUUUAUUGUCAUGUUCUAGGUUCAAAGCAUUAGCUCUAAUGCUAAGAAGAUAGCAAGAAGAGCAGUGAAUAAAGCUGUACAAUUUUCUUCUAACUUGAAUUUGAUUUCAUAAUCUUACCAACAUAACUACUACACAUACUCAUUAGUCAUACCACUAUUGUGCAGGGAAAAGGCACAAACGUGCAAGAAAGAAAGCAGCUUCAUCCCAAAGUAGCCAACAAGCUAUUGAGAACAACGUUAUUGAGUAUUUCUUCCGCACAUAAUUUCUUCUGCCCCUACUGCUAAACCGAACUUAUAUGAGGUUUUUGGAACUCCAAAUCCAUAUGUGGCAUUUAUCAAUCCAUAGUUGGUCCCUUUGCUUUUGCACCGUUUAUAAUCAGGGAUGUUAAAAUUCAUCUCAAACUCCCAAGGACCUCUUGGCUAACUUCUAGUAGUGAAUAUGGUGACAAAUCCAAUGUUAAAGGAAAAGCAAAGGUGAGCUAAUUAUGUACUUCUUUUGUUGAUGACUGUGCUAUAGGUGUGGAUACAUAUGUAUUUCUUUUGUUGUAUUGGAAGUAAUGCAGCCAGAAUUCAUGACAAUAUAACCAUGUCUAUUUAUAUUUUAUAAAGAAUUUGGGCAAGGAAAAUAUGCCUUUUUGAUGGUUGUAAUGACUAAAUUGCCAGAUUAUGUUAUGUUUUCAUAGUUAUUAAUGAUUUCUGGGAAGAAUUGCUGCAGUUUCCUUUCUCAAUUGAGUUAUGAAUAUCUAGGUAUCAUUUAUGAAUGCACUUGUGUUUUACAGGGAUAAUUUCAAAAUAAUGCCUUCAUUUGGCCUCUAAAUUGCCAUCACUUUACAUGUGUAAUAAGAUGCUUGACAGAUAUUUACUAAUUUGAAUGUUAAAUCACUGUUAAAUAAAGGCUCAAAAAUCUUGAAAGAUUGAUCGUUUUGGCAUCAAGAAAUGUCCACUACAGUUUACAAUACAUACUAGCAAGAUAAUACAUCCCAGCCUACACAUUCACCCACUCCAAGCAAAAACUAAAAAAUUUUGAAUGAAUGUGUUUUAGCUAUUAGCUUGAACCACAAAAUGAUCACUAGUAGCUUGUUACAAUAUGCUAAACCAAAGCUAUUCCAUCCUAAUUUCUGGAUUUUUACACCAGCAAAAUAAACAACAACAAUACCAACAACACAAUUGCACAUACUAAUUUUCUUUCCUUGCUCUUAAUCUUUCAAUUGUGGCAUCCUUAGCAUUCUUGCUCCGUAGCAAACCAGGUCUCAAAGCAAUGGAUCUUUGGCACAUUACCGGAUCCUACCACUCGAAAUAGUUGCAACCUUGUUCAUCUCUUCUGCCCUUCACAGUCAAGAAAAUAAUGUUUUAGAAAAAACUUCAAAUUCGAAAGCUGAAGCAAGAAUUUGAGAUGGCCCAUACCUUCUUCAUGCCACAACUGAAAUACCUUCUUCCAGGGCUAUUGUGUGUCCAAGAGGUAAUCAUCAUUACUUGCAACUUACAGUGGCAAAACUUUUAUAGUACCAUGACUACAUAAAAUGAGAUUAGAAGACAAAUCUGUCAAAAUUUUGCCACAAGUGUGAAUGGAUGAAGGAAACCCGAAGCUCUUCAAUCCCAAUCUCGACAAGUCUUUGUUUCUUAAAAGGUGAAUUUGACUACAAAGGGUUUUUCUUCAGUUGGGGAAGAACAGAGAGAACGAAAGAAAGAAAGUAAGUUUGGGUAUUUUGUUCUUCCACACAGCAAUAACCUAAUUAUACAGUACACUAAUACUAAUUAAUAUAAUCAACUCCAUCUGCUGAUUGUGUCUUGUCUUUGUUAAUAAAAAAAGGGACUAGAAAGCUUGAAAUAAUUUUUUACAAGUUUCCACUUUUAAAAAAUUGAAAAAGAGAUUUUAAGUCCCGGCACGUGCUCUCACAUGACUUGUUUCCGGCAAAAAAUUGAAGAAAACCCAUCAAUUGCCCACUUUUGAGCAAAAUUGGAUGGAUUGGGGACCACAUUUGUUUUUAAAAAUAGAUUGGGGACUAAUUUCGCGUAUGGGUUAUAAAUUGGGACCAAAACUCCAAUUCUUCCCCUCCUCCCCCCUUUUAUUUAUAGAAAACAAGAAUAAUUGUGAUAAUGAGAUUGUAGGAAUUCGUCUCGUACCAUUUGUUUGACAAAGAUUGGUGGGGAGUUUCAAAAAAAUUUGGCAAAGUUGCCCGAUUUUGCAAAGUGAGUUAAACUAUGCACAACCUCAUUAACUUGUCUAGCAAUCCAAUUUACAUUAGUAAUAUCGUGUUCUAACAAAGUUAAACAAACAUCCUCAAUUAUCAAGCCAAUAUCCAAUAGAAUGUUUUCAUUACUUUGGAUAAGUUUGAUAGCUGAGAAUGCAUCCCCUUCCAAAAUGUAACUUGGCAAAUGAAUGGAACCAUCCUAUAUCUACUUGAAGACAUAUGGAUGCUUUCAACUUUCAAGUUGGUUUUUUUUCUUCUUUGCUUCAAACUCCAUUGCUUUAAACGUUUUAAACUUUUUUCCCUUGAGUAGUUUGCUUGGUUUGAGUUGUUAAUUGUUCAUUUUGAAGUAAUUCGGGAUGCAGAAUUAGAGAUAAUUUAUAUAAGUUGUCUUUUUAAAUUUAAUUAUGUAUAUUUGUUGAAUAGUUUGAAGGCUUAUUUUAAAAAGAGGCAUCUUCAUUUAUGAUUUUAGUUAUCUGCAAUUAGGGCUAAAAGCAUUAAACCCCUCAAUUUUGCCUUAGUUGCACUUUAGUCAUUUCAACUCAAGAAAUGGGCACUUUACCCCUUAUUUUUGUUUUAGGACAACAAUGCCCCUUCUAUAUUAUUUAUUAUUUUGUUUAUUUUUCUCCUUUUUGGCCCUUUUCUACUUGUCCAUUUUCUUUAUAUUUUUAAAAUUUUCUCCCUUCUCUCAUGUAAAUAACUAUUAUCUUCUCGUUGUUAUUAAUAUCUAUAUAUUAAUUAAUGUUCUAAAACUUAUUCUUUGUUUAUUCAACCUUUUUUUUUGUUUUGGAAGUAAUAAUGAUCAUAAAGUUUCCGCUAUAACAAAGUAUAUGCUAUCUAUGUGAAUAGACUAUUUCAUAUAUUACUUAAAUCAAUAUGUCUAGAGCAUAAAAUAAAAUAAAUUUUAAUAACAAUAGUAUAAUAUUCAAAUCGUAAUGACAUAGUGAUUAAUCAACUAUACAUAAAAAUAAAAAUAAUAUUUUCUUUAUUUUUUGAGGUAAAUUUUAAAUGUUAAGGAAUUUAAUAUUCUAGUUCACUAAUAUGUUUUUAAAUAGUGAAAUUGCUAGUAAUAUACACUUUGAUUGUGACAUGCAUAUAUCAAUUUUUUACACUAAACAAUUUGUUUUAAAUUUAUUAAUAGUAUAAAUAAAUAAAACAAGAAUGGAAUUAUAAAUAAAAGAUAAUUACAAUAUUAUAUUAAGCAUACUAAUAGGAAAGUGACAUGAGAGAAGUAAAAAUAAUAAUAAAAAGAAAAUAAAAAUUAACAGAAAGUAGUGGAAAAAGAAAAAAAAAAAGAGAAAAAAAUGAAAAAACAAAAAAAUGAAACAAAUAGGAAGGGCAUUUUUAUCUUAAAAUGUCAAAGCAAAACUAAAUGUAAAAUUUAGGGGGGUUUAGUGCAUUUUAUUUGUGAAGCCAUUAGAUUGUCUAUAUACUUCUGUAAAAUUUAUUUUUGCUUAUAUUGCAAGUUCUUUGUGAGUGUAGAACAGUCGCCAUGUGGCUUAAACUUUGUGCUGAUUAGCUAAGUACGUUGAAUAGUGUAUAGCUCUGAGUUGUGCAAUUCAGCCUUGUGUCAAUUUGUAUUCAAAUUUUUAUCACAGAUUUCAUUGUUUGAAAAUAAAUUUCCCAUAUAUGUUCGGUUACUAAGAAAAAUAUUGAGAGAAUAUAGAAAGUAAAUGACAGUUAUUAGCAAUUAUUAAAACUUCUGUGAGUAACCAACUGUUUUCCUUCAAAAUCCUACAAAUUUUGCAAGACACAAAAUACAUGAAAAUGCGAGAAAAAUUUUCAAAAUUCUUGCCAACCAAACAUGCAAGAAUAGUGUAUAGCUCUGACUUAUGCUAUUCAGCCUUUUGUCAAUUGGUACGCAAAUUUUGAUCACAGAUUUCACAGUUUGAAAUUCAUGUCCAAUGAAAAGUUUUGUUGAUACAACAUAGGAUAUAACAAAUUUGAUACAAUAAAGGAUACAACAGCUUUACCAUGCAGGCACAUGACACGUCUAGAUCUAGACUGCCUGCCCAAAAGGGAUAAAGCAUCACAACAGGUAAGAAAUUUGGGAUGACAGCAGGUAAGAUAUUCCGAGUGUCAUGUGAGUUCCAAAAUAUUUGUUAAUGCAACAAGAAAUAAAAAUAAACAAAAAGCCUGUCUGCUCUAUGGAAUUCAUAUACAUUUUAGUAAGUAACAAAUUCUUGGCGCAACCCAAAAAAAAAGAUGGUCAUGAACAAGGUUCUUGUAGUAAUAAUUUUUUCCCCUCUGAUUUCGACAAUCAAAGUAAGCUGCUUUCAUUUGUCAUAUCCUUUAAUGCAAAUUCCCUUGCUAGUCAAGUUGUUCAUUGUCCACUAAACAAAAAUAUUCUUUUCCUUUAAACAAACCGGCUACAAUUGUUUUGGUGUCAGUCAAAAUUUUAUUUCUAAACAGACCGGCUACAAUUUGUUAAGAUACCCUAAUCACUUUUUUAUUUCACGUAUUCCUGCUCUAAAAAAUGUUAUGGUAAUAAUUUUUUCACAAAACUCAGGAAGAAAAAACAAAUUCAAAUGAAGCCACAGGGGAUAUCAAUUAUCGUAAAUUGGACAAUUUCAGGUUGCAAAACAAGUAUAGGGUAGAUUUUAUUUCAGACACAUUUAUGACAUUUUCCGUAAGGGAGAUGAACAAUCAAAGUACAUUUCUAAUAGUACAUAAGAAAUGUUGCAAAAAAGCUGGUAGGCAAACAUUGGUUAAUAUACUCCCUCGGUCCCAUAUUUCUUGUAUACGAUGACAAAUAUUUUGAAACAUUUCGAAAUGGAAAGCUACGGAGGGAAUAACAGUUUUGUUGCUACUCUG